GCGGAAAUUAAAAUAAGGAGUUGAACUCUAGCCUCAGCUCUGCCCCGUCAUCACCAGCCAUUAACCUGAAAACAUUUGAAAAUAAUUUUGGGCUAAGUACUAAUGUACUUAGUGGGCUGCAACUUUUAAAGCAUUUCAUAAUCUGAAGAACAGUUUAUCCAAUCUUACUGACAUGACAUAGAAGGUUUUAAAGAGAAAUAACUUCUAUGCAUGUUAAAACAUUUUCAUAUAUAUAUACUUAAUUAUUUUGCGCGCAUUUGCACACUCCAUUCUGUUACUCGCUGUGAUCCCGGACCUCUAGCCACCGACGGAUCUCUGUCUCCCGCUGACUUGAACUGAGGGCGUAACCCAGUCAAGUAUAAUAAACCUCGGAAAUUAAUCCAGACAGGCCUAUCAUUUCUAUGCUCCGGAACACAUCCCGUCGAGCACCCUUAUAACGCCUCUGGUUAGUGCCCGAUGGAGAUCAACCCACCGAGUCAGCUAACAAGUGUACACAAUUCUCAAACAACGUGUUAGGUCAUAAGAGAACCUCAAUUGAUUAACUGUACGAGCCUUAAACAUGGUAGAGUGCACAAAAAUAUUUUAUUGGAUAAACAGUUUAUAUUACACGAAUAUUUAAGCUCAAUAGCUAAAUCAUACAUUUGAAAAAUAAGCCCACCUGUCUAGGCAAAGCCUGUCGUUUAACUUUAUUUCUGAAUCGGAAUAGCAGUGCUAAUCCUCCUGAUGCUCAAAGCCUACAAGAAAUCUAUUCUCAAUAGGUCUCCUUGAAUUCUAAUCUUAAGUCAUGGUGUAGUGCUUAAUAUUCUAUGAUUCACU
rnacentral:lncRNA from 1 species